GGUAUAGGUGGAGGGAGGCCACAGGAAGUGGUGCAGAAGAUGGGGGCCACAGGAAGUGGUGCAGAAGAUGGGGGUCACAGGAAGUGGUAUAGGUGGAGGGAGGCCACAGGAAGUGGUGCAGAAGAUGGGGGCCACAGGAAGUGGUAUAGGUGGAGGGAGGCCACAGGAAGUGGUGCAGAAGAUGGGGGCCACAGGAAGUGGUAUAGGUGGGACCACCCAUACGUAGAAUGUAUGCACACAUGACUGUAAGUCGCUUUGGAUAAAAGCGUCUGCUAAAUGGCAUAUAUAGGUGGAGGGAGGCCACAGGAAGUGGUGCAAAAGAUGGGGGCCACAGGAAGUGGUAUAGGUGGAAGGGAGGCCACAGGAAGUGGUGCUGCCACAAGUGUAGAAGUAGUCUGUGAAAGGUCAUUUAAAGGUUUAUACAUUUCAAAAACAUGGAGAAAGCUGUCAAACAUAAUGUGAUUGCGUUCUGAAAAUGAUUUACAGAAGAAAAAAAUGUAGCCUCAUGCAUCACUCACUAUAGAAUGUAACCCAUGUGUAGGUCAAGAAGACUAUAGAAUGUAAUCCAUGCCUAGGUCAAGAAGACUAUAGAAUGUAAUCCAUGCCUAGGUCAAGAAGACUAUAGAAUGUAAUCCAUGUGUAGGUCAAGAAGACUAUAGAAUGUAAUCCAUGUGUAGGUCAAGAAGACUAUAGAAUGUAAUCCAUGCGUAGGUCAAGAAGACUAUAGAAUGUAAUCCAUGUGUAGGUCAAGAAGACUAUAGAAUGUAAUCCAUGCGUAGGUCAAGAAGACUAUAGAAUGUAAUCCAUGUGUAGGUCAAGAAGACUAUAGAAUGUAAUCCAUGUGUAGGUCAAGAAGACUAUAGAAUGUAAUCCAUGCCUAGGUCAAGAAGACUAUAGAAUGUAAUCCAUGCCUAGGUCAAGAAGACUAUAGAAUGUAAUCCAUGCCUAGGUCAAGAAGACUAUAGAAUGUAAUCCAUGCCUAGGUCAAGAAGACUAUAGAAUGUAAUCCAUGCCUAGGUCAAGAAGACUAUAGAAUGUAAUCCAUGCCUAGGUCAAGAAGACUAUAGAAUGUAAUCCAUGCCUAGGUCAAGAAGACUAUAGAAUGUAAUCCAUGCCUAGGUCAAGAAGACUAUAGAAUGUAAUCCAUGUGUAGGUCAAGAAGACUAUAGAAUGUAAUCCAUGCCUAGGUCAAGAAGACUAUAGAAUGUAAUCCAUGCCUAGGUCAAGAAGACUAUAGAAUGUAAUCCAUGUGUAGGUCAAGAAGACUAUAGAAUGUAAUCCAUGUGUAGGUCAAGAAGACUAUAGAAUGUAAUCCAUGUGUAGGUCAAGAAGACUAUAGAAUGUAAUCCAUGUGUAGGUCAAGAAGACUAUAGAAUGUAAUCCAUGCCUAGGUCAAGAAGACUAUAGAAUGUAAUCCAUGCCUAGGUCAAGAAGACUAUAGAAUGUAAUCCAUGCCUAGGUCAAGAAGACUAUAGAAUGUAAUCCAUGCCUAGGCAUGUAGCUCUAUUUUUACAUUACAUUCAACAAGCAAACAGUGCUGUUUUCUCCUCUGGUCUGUCCUGUCUCUGGAGGGAAUGCCAUUUCUGGAGACCGCGUUCAUGAAGCAAUCCAUUACAGUACUGCUGCGAUUGUUGCUGGAAGCACGGAGAAACAACGAGAAGUCCUGUCUCUGGAGGGAAUGCCAUUUCUGGAGACCGCGUUCAUGAAGCAAUCCAUUACAGUACUGCUGCGAUUGUUGCUGGAAGCACGGAGAAACAACGAGAAGUCUGUACCCAUCAAUGCUACCAUGUGUGACUCUCCUCCACCUAAAUCCGAAAACAGCACUGGUUGAUAUAAAAUCUGAACACUUUAAACAUACAAACAUCCCCAUCCUCCUUUACCACUUAGACGCUGCAUCAGGCUCUUGCAGUAUAUAACAAAGCAGCAGGCCAGAUAUUAAAUGAACACCCAAAAUGUGGAACAAAAUGUUAAUGAAUCAAGUUAAAUGAGUCAAGAGGACAGACUCUCCUGUUGUUCACGCUUAGGCACAAAUACUUUGUUCCAACUGGUUUUGUCUCAAUAUAAACAUGUUUGUUUAACGAUCACAGAAGUAGCAGAAACACAAUUGUUAAAGGAAUUAAAUUGCUCUAUGUUUUAAUACCCAAUUAAAAUUAAACACUGUCAAU